rnacentral:rRNA from 1 species
UACGUAGGGGGCAAGCGUUGUCCGGAAUCAUUGGGCGUAAAGCGCGCGUAGGCGGCCCGAUCAGUCCGCUGUAAAAGUCCAGGGCUCAACCCUGGAAAGCCGGUGGAUACUGUCGGGCUAGAGUCCGGAAGAGGCGAGUGGAAUUCCUGGUGUAGCGGUGGAAUGCGCAGAUAUCAGGAGGAACACCGAUAGCGAAGGCAGCUCGCUGGGACGGUACUGACGCUGAGGUGCGAAAAGCGUGGGGAGCGAACAGG